rnacentral:rRNA from 1 species
AGAUUCGUCGAAGUUAACUUUGACUUAGUGGCGGACGGGUGAGUAAUGUAUGAGCAACCUGCCUUUCAGAGGGGGACAACAGUUGGAAACGACUGCUAAUACCGCAUAACGUAUUCGGACCGCAUGAUCUGAAUACCAAAGCUUUAUGUGCUGAAAGAUGGCCUCGCGUCUGAUUAGCUAGUUGGUGGGGGUAACGGGCCCCACCAAGGCGACGAUCAGUAGCCGGUCUGAGAGGAUGAACGGCCACAUUGGGGACUGAGAUACGGCCCAGACUCCUACGGGAGGGCAGCAGUGGGGAAUAUUGGGGCAAUGGGGGGAAACCCUGACCCAGCAACGCCGCGUGAAGGAAGAAGGCCUUCGGGUUGUAAACUUCUUUUACCAGGGACGAAGGAACGUGACGGUACCUGGAGAAAAAGCAACGGCUAACUACGUG